rnacentral:rRNA from 1 species
UACGAAGGGGGCUAGCGUUGCUCGGAAUGACUGGGCGUAAAGGGCGCGUAGGCGGAUGGCACAGUCAGAUGUGAAAUUCCUGGGCUUAACCUGGGGGCUGCAUUUGAUACGUGUGAUCUAGAGUGAGGAAGAGGGUUGUGGAAUUCCCAGUGUAGAGGUGAAAUUCGUAGAUAUUGGGAAGAACACCGGUGGCGAAGGCGGCGACCUGGUCCUUAACUGACGCUGAGGCGCGAAAGCGUGGGAGCAAAUAGG